CUUUGAAAAUUACAAUGUUGGUAAUAAAUGUCCUCCAGGUUAUGGAGCUCAUCGAGCCAAUGGCUCCAUCUGCACUUGUCUGAAACAAACACAGUCAUUGGAUCAGGAAGUAGCAUGUAGGCUUCUUUCCGAGGGGCUGCUGGCUGAAUAAUUGAGAACUGGAAUCAUCUUGAGAAGAAGACCAACUUUCAGGAAAUAAUGACUUCCUCCAGAUAUGGAGACCAAAAGGGAACAGUGUGACCUGAGUUCAUCUGAAAACCUUAGCGAUGCAUAUACUCCUGCUGAGUUCUCCCCUUCAUCUAUUGUAACUUUGGCAGAAGACCCACGAAAACCCUGGAGAAGCAGCGUAAAUAAUAUCUUCUAAAUUUCACUUUUGAGGAUGGUGUAGAGCUUCUUCAACAUUGCCAGGCAAGCAAGAAGUAGCCCAUCAUUCUCCGAACUUGUACCAGCCACAUUGAACACCUUGAACUCUGUAACAGCAUACCUUCACCACCAUAAUGGUUGACCAUACCAUUUCUAAGGCAAUUGGGGACGAGCAACAAAUGUUGGCAUUGCUAGUGAUGUUCACAUUCUGUGAAUCUGUCAAAAAAAACCAAAGAGUUAGAAAGCAAAAACAACAUUUAUCAGUAUUUUUCUGCAUAUUUGGAGAUUCAAGAUGACAGCCCCACAAAACCCUGACUCUGACUUCAUCUAUUAGUGACACUGCUAAAGUGACUGGUCCAGUUAACUUCUGAUCAUUGAUCUUCCUGGGAUGUUGUUGGUGGUGGAGACAACAACUGUAAUGCAACUGAAGUCAAGAGUAGAUGUUUUAAUCACCUCCUGUUGGAUUUUGCUGAAAAGUGGUAUUUGACAUUGAUGCCUGAUAACUGUAUGGCCAGAAUGUCAAAUGCUAUUUAUCAUCUCAAGCCUAAACGUCAUUCAGGCCUGAACUGGUUCACUAUUUGAGUAAUUUCUUUCCAUUCACUGGAUGUGACCAUUUAUCACCUAUUGAACUUCAUUGACUCAAUGUCUGGUUAAGCCAUUUCAGAGAACAAUUAAGAGUGAAGCACAUUGAUCUGAGUCAAAGGGCCAAAUAACAUUAGUGAACCAAAUAAUUUUCAUGAUAAUCUGUUGGGGACAUGACUGUUUACCAUUACUGAAACUGAGUUCCACAACUGCAACGGUUGGAUCUGAAUUUGUGGCUCUGGAUUACUAAUCCAGUAACAUAGCUACAAUGUUACCAUUCCUCAUUGAAGAUAUCAUGCCCUUGAUGUGAAUGGCCAACAUCUAAUCCCUAUGAUGACAUUCAUUAACUCAGACGAUCUGUCAUUAUAAGACACAGUUGCAGACAGAAAUGUCUCCUUUGAGCACCAGAAGUCAACUUCCUUUUUUUAAUUAAACAACCACAAAUUUCAACUAUCACAAAGGGGAAUUAUAUGGUUAGAUUACAAAAGACCAAGGGAAAUAACUGCUGAUACAGAAACUAAGUGACACAAACAAAGAAAAAAGACAGCAAAUUUCCAAGGGCACAUAUUCCUUCCAAGUGAUAAGUUCUUCCUAUUUCGUUUUUAAUACCUUGCUUAAUCUUAUACCACUUU